GAUGAACGCUGGCGGCGUGCCUAAUACAUGCAAGUCGAGCGAACAGACGAGGAGCUUGCUCCUCUGACUUUAGCGGCGGACGGGUGAUUAACACGUGGAUAACCUACCUAUAAGACUGGGAUAACUUCGGGAAACCGGAGCUAAUACCGGAUAAUAUAUUGAACCUAAUGGUGCAAUAGUGAAAGACGGUUUUUCUGUCACUUAUAGAUGAAUAAGCGCCGAAUUAGCUAGUUGUUAAGGUAGCUGCUUACCAAGGCAACGAUGCGUAGCCGACCUGAACGCGAGAAUGACCAGACGGGCACUGAGAAACAGCACCGACUCCUACAGUGAGACGCAGUCGAGACUCUUACGGAAUGGAGGAAAGCCUAACCGAGCACAACGGCGUGAGGGCUGACGGACUUAGGAUCGUAAAACUAUGUUAUUAGGGAAAUAGAAAUGUGCUAGUAACUAUGACGGUAUUGACGGUACCUAAUCAAAAAGCCCCGGCUAACUACGUG
rnacentral:rRNA from 1 species